AACGAACGCUGGCGGCAUGCCUAACACAUGCAAGUCGAACGAGACCUUCGGGUCUAGUGGCGCACGGGUGCGUAACGCGUGGGAACCUGCACUUAGGUUCGGAAUAACUCUCCGAAAGGGGUGCUAAUACCGGAUAAUGUCUUCGGACCAAAGAUUUAUCGCCUUUGGAUGGGCCCGCGUUGGAUUAGCUUGUUGGUAGGGUAAUAGCCUACCAAGGCGACGAUCCAUAGCUGGUUUGAGAGGAUGAUCAGCCACACUUGGACUGAGACACGGCCCAGACUCUUCCGGGAAGCAGGAGUGGGGAAUAUUGGAAAAUGGGGGAAAGCCUGAUCCAGCAAUGCCGCGUGAGUGAUGAAGGCCUUAGGGUUGUAAAGCUCUUUUACCCGUGAUGAUAAUGACAGUACCGGGAGAAUAAGCUCCGGCUAACUCCGUG
rnacentral:rRNA from 1 species